AGGAAUGGAUGAAAUGGAGUUCACUGAAGCCGAGAGCAACAUGAAUGAUUUGGUUGCAGAAUAUCAACAAUACCAGGAUGCUACAGCAGAUGAUGAGGAAGAGUAUGAUGAUGAUGAGGUUGCUGAUGAUCAAUACCAAUCCUAAAAACUUCUCUACAUUUGAUAUAUUGUUGGUUUGUUCAAUUUCUGCCAAGUGAACUUGUUAUGUUUCCUAUUGUCUUCUCUUCAUUUGAACUUUGUGUUUGGUUUGUUGAGAAAUGAAAUGUCUUUUAUUGGUCUAUAUGAAUAUACUGUAUUACAGUAGCUUCUUGUACUUGUUGGUGUAUUGCAGUUUCUUACAUAC
rnacentral:misc_RNA from 1 species